rnacentral:rRNA from 1 species
GAUGAACGCUGGCGGCGUGCCUAAUACAUGCAAGUCGAGCGAACAGACGAGGAGCUUGCUCCUCUGACGUUAGCGGCGGACGGGUGAGUAACACGUGGAUAACCUACCUAUAAGACUGGGAUAACUUCGGGAAACCGGAGCUAAUACCGGAUAAUAUAUUGAACCGCAUGGUUCAAUAGUGAAAGACGGUUUUGCUGUCACUUAUAGAUGGAUCCGCGCCGCAUUAGCUAGUUGGUAAGGUAACGGCUUACCAAGGCGACGAUGCGUAGCCGACCUGAGAGGGUGAUCGGCCACACUGGAACUGAGACACGGUCCAGACUCCUACGGGGGGCAGCAGUAGGGAAUCUUCCGCAAUGGGCGAAAGCCUGACGGAGCAACGCCGCGUGAGUGAUGAAGGUCUUCGGAUCGUAAAACUCUGUUAUUAGGGAAGAACAAAUGUGUAAGUAACUAUGCACGUCUUGACGGUACCUAAUCAGAAAGCCACGGCUAACCACGCG